rnacentral:rRNA from 1 species
YUAGAUGUCCGGGGCCGCACGCGCGCUACACUGAAGGAAUCAGCGUGUGYUUUCCCUGUCCGGAAGGACUGGGUAAYCCGCUGAACCUCCUUCGUGAUAGGGAUAGGGGYUUGUAAUURUUCCCCUUGAACGAGGAAUUCCCAGUAAGCACGAGUCAUAAGCUCGUGUUGAUUACGUCCCUGCKCCUUGUACACACCGCCCGUCGCUACUACCGAUUGAAUGAUUUAGUGAGGUCUUCGGACUGGCGCUCGGAGCGGCCUUCCGGCCGGGCCGACGUGCCGGAAAGAUGACCAAACUUGAUCAUUUAGAGGAAGUAAAAGUCGUAACAAGGUUUCC